CUUCAUGAAGCCGGAAUUGCUGUAAUGGCAGGUCAGCAUACUGCCGUGAAUACGUUCCCGGGCCUUGUACACACCGCCCGUCACACCAUGAGAGUUGGGAAUACCCGAAGCCUGUGAGCUAACGAAAGAGGCAGCAGUCGAAGGUAGAAUCAAUGAUUGGGGUGAAGUCGUAACAAGGUAUC
rnacentral:rRNA from 1 species